rnacentral:ncRNA from 1 species
UUGGAUGCGUUGAAAAGGAAGAGUAAAAUGUUCUUGCUUGCUAUAGAGAGGAAACGGUAGCUGAAAAGUUUCUGUGAGCAAUCAUUUGAAGGUAGCCUUGGAGCAGCUUUUGUGAAAUAGCAGUAGCAAAAUGCCGGGAAAACCCCGUUAUCUUAAUCGAGAGCCGAGAACUUGGUGGAAGUCCUUUAAAAUUUAAUUGGAUGACACUAAACUCGGAACUAAAGGUGGUACCGCGAAUCAAAACUCCUUCGUCCUUUUA